rnacentral:rRNA from 1 species
AAACCGCUUAGGGGUUAAACCCGAUGAACCCGAAUAUCUGAAUUGAGAAAUUCAAUAUUAUGUUGUUUACUCAUUUGAAUAAUAUUUAACAACUGGUAUGCACUUUUCUCAUUGUAAGACAUUGCGAUCCAUUAGCAUUUGCUUAGGCAGUAAAUUUAUUAAACGGCCCGUAUGUACAGAUUGUUCUAGCUGUGGCAGUUUUUAAUUGCCAUAUGAGCAAAUGCAUUGCGGUUACCUAAUAAAUAGCUGAUGGGUAUUUAAAAUCAUGCAAACAUACAUGUAUGUAUCACGGUUUAGAUAUUUUAUUUAAGUGCAGUGAUAGCAUGUAUUUGAUUAGCAAUGCGAUAGAUUUGGGAUACCUUCGGGACCCGUCUUGAAACACGGACCAAGAAGUCUAACAUGUGUGCAAGUCAUUGGGUAUUAUAUUGAAACCUAAAGGCGUAAUUAAAAUAACUAUAAUGGGAUUACAGGUGAUCAAAAAAUUGCCUCUCCAUCCCGGGGCGUUCUAAACGAACAUGAUGUAAGAAAUUAGAUCCUCUGUUCAAGAGCGUACCUUGAGCAUACAUGCUGUGACCCGAAAGAUGGUGAACUAUACCUGAUCAGGUUGAAGUCAGGGGAAACCCUGAUGGAGGACUGAAGCAGUUCUGACGUGCAAAUCGAUUGUCAGAAUUGGGUAUAGGGGCGAAAGACCAAUCGAACCAUCUAGUAGCUGGUUCCCUCCGAAGUUUCCCACAGGAUAGCUGGCGCAUUAAGAAAUUAAAUAUAUAGUCUUAUCUGGUAAAGCGAAUGAUUAGAGGCCUUGGGGCCGAAACGACCUCAACCUAUUCUCAAACUUUAAAUGGGUAAGUACCUCAUCUUUCUUGAAUUGAAGAUGCAGGAGUAUAGAUAUAUUGUGCCCAGUGGGCCACUUUUGGUAAGCAGAACUGGCGCUGUGGGAUGAACCAAACGUGAUGUUACGGCGCCCAAAUUAAUGACUCAUAUUGAUACCAUGAAAGGCGUUAGUUGCUUAAAACAGUAGGACGGUGGACAUGGAAGUCGUAAUCCGCUAAGGAGUGUGUAACAACUCACCUGCCGAAGCAACUAGCCCUUAAAAUGGAUGGCGCUCAAGUCAUAUGCCUAUACAUCACCGCUAGAAUAAGAAAAUUUUUAAUAAUUAUUAAUAAAAAUUUAUGAAAUUCUAGUGAGUAGGAGGGUACAAUGGUGUGCGCAGAAGUGUUUGGCGUGAGCCUGCAUGGAGCCGCCAUUGGCACAGAUCUUGGUGGUAGUAGCAAAUAAUCGAAUGAGAUCUUGGAGGACUGAAGUGGAGAAGGGUUUCGUGUGAACAGUGGUUGAUC